UUCGGGAUGCCGGCGAGUGGCGAACGGGUGAGUAAUACGUGGAAACCUAUCCCGAGGUGGGGGAUAACAGCUGGAAACGGCUGCUAGUACCGCAUAAGCCCUAAGGGGGAAAGAUUUAUCGCCUUGGGAGGGGUCCACGUCGGAUUAGCUAGUUGGUGGGGUAAAGGCCUACCAAGGCGAUGAUCCGUAGCUGGUCUGAGAGGAUGAUCAGCCACACUGGGACUGAGACACGGCCCAGACUCCUACGGGAGGCAGCAGUGGGGAAUAUUGCGCAAUGGGAGAAAUCCUGACGCAGCGAUACCGCGUGGGUGAAGAAGGUCUUCGGAUUGUAAAGCCCUUUCAGCAGGAAAGAUGAUGACGGUACCUGCAGAAGAAGCCCCGGCUAACUCCGUGCCAGCAGCCGCGGUAAUACGGAGGGGGCGAGCGUUGUUCGGAAUGACUGGGCGUAAAGGGCGCGUAGGCUGCUCUGCAAG
rnacentral:rRNA from 1 species